rnacentral:rRNA from 1 species
UACGUAGGGUGCAAGCGUUGUCCGGAAUUAUUGGGCGUAAAGAGCUCGUAGGCGGUUUGUCGCGUCUGCUGUGAAAUCCUCAGGCUCAACCUGGGGCUUGCAGUGGGUACGGGCAGACUAGAGUGCGGUAGGGGUGACUGGAAUUCCUGGUGUAGCGGUGGAAUGCGCAGAUACCAGGAGGAACACCGAUGGCGAAGGCAGGUCACUGGGCCGCAACUGACGCUGAGACACGAAAGCGUGGGUAGCAAACAGG